GCAGGCUGUUGCGUGGUUUAGGUAGUCUCAUGUUGUUGGGCUAUUUAUUUUAUGUUCCCACAACACGAAACUGCCUUGAUUACCUCAGUGAAA
rfam:Xiphophorus maculatus strain JP 163 A Contig120.19, whole genome shotgun sequence.